rnacentral:lncRNA from 1 species
GAGUAGCAAAGAACAACGAAUUUAGUUGUAAAUUUGAUGAUGCUCAGUAGGAGGAAAUCCUUCAAAUGUUGAAGGAGUUCUUUUGUACCUUUGAAGAUGUGUCUUCAGUGGGACAACAAUCCUUUGAGAAAAAAAAAGAAGGUGCAAAAAAGUCAUGCUUGGACUGAAGAGCCCAAACUAACAAAAGAGUCUAAGGUUAACCUAGUUUGACAGAGUCUCUUGAUCCGAACAG